rnacentral:rRNA from 1 species
UACGUAGGGUGCAAGCGUUGUCCGGAAUUAUUGGGCGUAAAGAGCUCGUAGGCGGUCUGUCGCGUCUGCUGUGAGAACUCGGGGCUUAACCCCGGGCCUGCAGUGGGUACGGGCAGACUAGAGUGCGGUAGGGGAGACUGGAAUUCCUGGUGUAGCAGUGAAAUGCGCAGAUAUCAGGAGGAACACCGGUGGCGAAGGCGGGUCUCUGGGCCGUAACUGACGCUGAGGAGCGAAAGCGUGGGGAGCGAACAGG